rnacentral:rRNA from 1 species
GAUGAACGCUAGCGGCAGGCCUAACACAUGCAAGUCGAGGGGUAGAAGGAGCUUGCUCCUUUGAGACCGGCGCACGGGUGCGUAACGCGUAUGCAAUCUACCUUGUACAGGGGAAUAGCCCAGAGAAAUUUGGAUUAAUGCCCCAUAGUAUAUAACCUUCGCAUGUUGGUUAUAUUAAAGUUCCAACGGUACAAGAUGAGCAUGCGUCCCAUUAGUUAGUUGGUAAGGUAACGGCUUACCAAGACGAUGAUGGGUAGGGGUCCUGAGAGGGAGAUCCCCCACACUGGUACUGAGACACGGACCAGACUCCUACGGGAGGCAGCAGUGAGGAAUAUGGGUCAAUGGUCGCAAGACUGAACCAGCCAUGCCGCGUGCAGGAAGACGGUCCUAUGGAUUGUAAACUGCUUUUAUACAGGAAGAAACCCUCCCACGUGUGGGAGCUUGACGGUACUGUAGGAAUAAGGAUCGGCUAACUCCGUG